CUACGGGUGGCAGCAGUGGGGAAUAUUGCACAAUGGAGGAAACUCUGAUGCAGCAACGCCGCGUGGAGGAUGACACUUUUCGGAGCGUAAACUCCUUUUAUAUAGGAAGAAGAUGACGGUACUAUAUGAAUAAGCGCCGGCUAACUCCGUGCCAGCAGCCGCGGUAAUACGGAGGGCGCAAGCGUUACUCGGAAUCACUGGGCGUAAAGAGCGUGUAGGCGGAUUAAAAAGUCAGAAGUGAAAUCCUAUAGCUUAACUAUAGAACUGCUUCUGAAACUCUUAAUCUAGAAUGUGGGAGAGGUAGAUGGAAUUGCUGGUGUAGGGGUAAAAUCCGUAGAGAUCAGAAGGAAUACCGAUUGCGAAGGCGAUCUACUAGAACAUUAUUGACGCUGAGACGCGAAAGCGUGGGGAGCAAACAGGAUUAGAUACCCUCGUAGUC
rnacentral:rRNA from 1 species